rnacentral:rRNA from 1 species
UACGUAGGGGGCGAGCGUUGUCCGGAUUUAUUGGGCGUAAAGAGCGUGUAGGCGGCUUGGCAAGUCUGACGUGAAAGCCCGCGGCUCAACCGCGGAUUGUCGUUGGAAACUGCCUCGCUAGAGUCCGGAAGAGGAGAGCGGAAUUCCUGGUGUAGCGGUGGAAUGCGCAGAUAUCAGGAAGAACACCCGUGGCGAAGGCGGCUCUCUGGGACGGUACUGACGCUGAGACGCGAAAGCGUGGGGAGCGAACAGG